rnacentral:misc_RNA from 1 species
AAGUCGUAACAAGGUCUCCGUUGGUGAACCAGCGGAGGGAUCAUUACCGAGUUUGCUUUUCUAGCUCGAAACCCAUUGUGAACAUACCUCUUUACUCGUUGCUUCGGCGGCAGUCCCUCCUCUCCUAGGGGGGGUUCGGCCGCCGGAGGGACGCAAAUCUCAAACUCCUUAUCUUACUUCUCGAGUAUUAUCUGAGUCGAUAUUUCAAUUAUCAAAACUUUCAGCAACGGAUCUCUUGGUUCUG